UUACAAUUAAUUAUAUCACAAUUCCAGUGGGUCAGAAAUUUGGCGUAUGGUACUGUAAAAUAUGGCGCGUGCGUGUAUGGUACUGUAAAAUAUGGCGCACGUGUAUGGUACUGUAAAAGUUGGACAGGGUUGGCAUGUGUGUGUCGUACCAGCAGCUUUCUUCUCUUUUCCAAUAUGCUGGCUAAUCUCUCUUCCGAUGCCCCUCCAUCUCCUUUCACUCUUUCUUUAUCCUGCGCUUUUAUGAUUGUUCAUCACCCUGUCUUUCACAAUCCCUCUUUUCAAAAUGUCCUCCCUUUCCUUGACCCUCACACGCGUCUGCCAAUAUCCCUCUCUUCCGCUCUCAAUUUUCAUUCCACUUACAUCUCUUUUCCUCAUCCCACUUUCGUUCACUCCUCUCCUCCAUUAUCGUCGGACCCAUCACUCGUUCCUUUCAUCUUUCCUGUCCAUUAAACUUGUCUCACCGUCCCCUCAACACUUCCCCACCCGUCACACUUUCGUUCUCCUCUCUCCCCCUCGUCUGUCUUGUUGGCUGUCUGCGUCAGACAGUGGGGGAGGAGGAGACGCUAUGUAAAGACGGCAACAAAGAGAACCAGCCCAAGUCAGGAGGUGGAGGCAGGAGGAGAGGGGGUCAGAGACACCGAGGAAAAGCCCUGAACAGCACAGCAUCACCAACAUCACAA